rnacentral:tRNA from 1 species
GGGCGGGUAGAUCAGCCCGGUAGAUCGCCUGAUUCGCAUUCAGGAGGCCCCGAGUUCAAAUCUCGGUCCGUCCA